AUUGAACGCUGGCGGCAGGCCUAACACAUGCAAGUCGAGCGGAUGAAGGGAGCUUGCUCCUGGAUUCAGCGGCGGACGGGUGAGUAAUGCCUAGGAAUCUGCCUGGUAGUGGGGGAUAACGUCCGGAAACGGGCGCUAAUACCGCAUACGUCCUGAGGGAGAAAGUGGGGGAUCUUCGGACCUCACGCUAUCAGAUGAGCCUAGGUCGGAUUAGCUAGUUGGUGGGGUAAAGGCCUACCAAGGCGACGAUCCGUAACUGGUCUGAGAGGAUGGUCAGUCACACUGGAACUGAGACACGGUCCAGACUCCUACGGGAGGCAGCAGUGGGGAAUAUUGGACAAUGGGCGAAAGCCUGAUCCAGCCAUGCCGCGUGUGUGAAGAAGGUCUUCGGAUUGUAAAGCACUUUAAGUUGGGAGGAAGGGCAGUAAGUUAAUACCUUGCUGCUUUGACGUUACCAACAGAAUAAGCACCGGCUAACUUCGUG
rnacentral:rRNA from 1 species